rnacentral:rRNA from 1 species
CAGUAGCCACGGUAAUACGUAGGUCCCGAGCGUUGUCCGGAUUUAUUGGGCGUAAAGCGAGCGCAGGCGGUUAGAUAAGUCUGAAGUUAAAGGCUGUGGCUUAACCAUAGUACGCUUUGGAAACUGUUUAACUUGAGUGUAAGAGGGGAGAGUGGAAUUCCAUGUGUAGCGGUGAAAUGCGUAGAUAUAUGGAGGAACACCGGUGGCGAAAGCGGCUCUCUGGCUUGUAACUGACGCUGAGGCUCGAAAGCGUGGGGAGCAAACAGGAUUAGAUACCCCUGUAGUCCCUGUCUCUUAUACC